UAGAGAACGUGAAGGAUAAUGUUGCUUUAGCAACGGCCCGAAGGGCGAGGCGAAGCCGAGUCAUCCUGCACGACCCACCA
rnacentral:sRNA from 3 species